rnacentral:rRNA from 1 species
UACGUAGGGUCCGAGCGUUGUCCGGAAUUAUUGGGCGUAAAGGGCUCGUAGGCGGCUCAUCGCGUCUGCCGUGAAAACCCGCAGCUCAACUGCGGGCUUGCGGUUGAUACGGGUGGGCUGGAGUUCGGUAGGGGAGACUGGAAUUCCUGGUGUAGCGGUGAAAUGCGCAGAUAUCAGGAGGAACACCGGUGGCGAAGGCGGAUCUCUGGGCCUUACCUGACGCUCAGGUGCGAAAGCUAGGGGAGCGAACAGG